ensembl:lncRNA
GCAAUGCCAGUGCUGAAUGCAACAGAGAGAAGCAACACUGCUGGAGCCAAGUGUGAUGAGAUGAAAUGGGAUGCAGCAUCAGCAAUAGAAGUACACAAGAUGAUGUCCUCCUUAGCAGAUCAUUUUCAGCUAUGUCAGCAGGCCCUGAGAAUGUCAGCACACAGGACCCACAGAGAAAAGGAGCAGCAGGACAGGAAGGAAACAGGAAGCCAUACAGAGUAUGACACGCAUAUAUCCACCGGGAACGUCAAACUCAGCAACUCAACAACCACAAACCCGCACUUUUCAUCUUCUUUGAGGCCAAGAGCUAGCUGCCCGGUGAGCCGGCUGAAGGCAUCCCCGUUUCUCCAUUUCCCACCGCUCGCCACGUUGGAAUGAAUCCCCAACUCCAACCCGACCUCCCGAAUGUUUCCCAGACGACGCCCUUUAUUCCGUCCCUCCGACCCUCCGACCCUCCCCGGUUUAAGCCCCCAUCCUCUGCCCUCUGGAUCGCCCACCGACUGCCGAGCGCGGUCUUCCCUGGAGGCUGCCCUCCACCCGCUCCCGCCCGCGGGUCCUGGAGACUCCCAGCGUCCGGCGGGCUUCGGUCCCGGGACGGCGGCGCACGGCGGGGCCGCCUGGCUCGCUCGCCGCCUCAUGCCCCGCGGCCGUCUCGCCCUUUGCGUUGCCCGGCACCGAAGACCUCGGGCGCCGCUUCUGACAGCGCGACGGCUUUCACCUGCUGUGCGAGGGGCGUCGGGUGUGUUGACACUUCUGGGCCUCUCCUCGGAAAUCCUCGGCCAUCGUGGCCUUCGAGCACUCCGUCCGAGCUCGGCCCUCCUCUGCAAAGCCUCCCCCGCCUCGGCUUCCGCCCACGUGACUACCUCGUAGCGAGGCGCAGCAGGACUCGCGCUCCUUUGCCGUCUCCGGUUUGGGGCGCUGUGAGCGGGGCUUCCGGCGAGGCCCGGUGGCGGCCCGCCCGGAAACGGGAGCCAGCGUCGAGGUUCCGCGCGCCGCCGCCCUUCGCCGCCUGCCCCGGCUUCGCAGGGCUGUUCCGCUCGCAGGUCCCCCAGCCGGAGCCGCUUUCCGGGGCACAGCCCCGCGCUGGUCCUGUGCGGCCGAGACCGCGGGCGGCCGCGUGCCUCAACCCCAUCAGGCCUCCUAGAAAACCCUGCCUCGGGGCCGGUGCAGCGGGCCCUCGUCGUGCCGCUCCCCUCCCGCAGCCUGAACAAAUGGCCAGUUGUUUUAUAAUUGUGGAACUAAAGGAAUGGGAAGAACCUGACAGAUUGAGAAGUCAAGACUCUCAUCAAAAGUUGUGUGUGGCAUUGCAGAACUUCCACUAUGAGAUAUUUCAGAUUCAGAGAAGUUACUUGCCCCAAACCAAAUUACCAGUAAUUGGAAGAUCAAGAAUGAAAAGGACUCUUUCCAUCACACCACAUGAUGAUCUGCACUCUCCACAAAAGUGA